rnacentral:misc_RNA from 1 species
GAUGUCAUCAUCUUAGUCUGGUCUGUUGUGAUAAAAGCGCCUGUUUGAUUUAAAGUUUCACCUUGGAUUUGUAUUGCUGUGUUAUAUGAGAGUUUAUUGGAUGUUAAUGAUGUAAUUCGUGUUCAGUCUUUUCUAAUUAGAUGUCAGUAUCUCAUUUUGGUUUGUCAAAAUAAAAACACUACUUGCCAUAUAUAUGGUACUUUUUGUUUGUC